AAAUUAUAUUAUUUCAGUGUAGAUAAGGGAAGGGCAGGUUCAAAUACAAACAUGACAGCCAGGCGAACCAGUGUAUGAAUCAAAUGGAUUUGCAUAUGAUUUGGAGUGGAAAUUAGCUGACUUCGUGAUCUGUAAGGUAGACUUUGCAUUGCCUCUGUGUGCGACUGCCUUGAGCAGCAGUCUGAGGGACUUUGCAGGGAAAAUGCCGUGCAGUAAAGCGUAGGGGAUUGUCUGCAGCAGGACGACCCUCAGUGGAUGGGCGCCGAGGGGUGUGGUGCUCCUCCAGCAGCUUUCUCAUGAGAUUCUCUCUGUCCUUUUGGUGGUCCACCUUCCCUGUGGCCGACAUGAUCGCUGUAUGGAUAGUGGAAAGGACAUGGAUGUCUCGUUUGUCAUGUCACUUUACUGCCAACCUGUUACCUGUUCUCCUGGAACUCCACCUCCCCCUCUGCAUCUUCCUGCCUCCGAAUGCCGGCAUCCCCUUCCUAUUCGACCGAACCGUGCCACAGGUCCCAGUGCUGUUGGAGAGCAGAAGCUGGAAGAGUGUUGUACCAAUUCAAAUAAAUAUCAAAUGUUAUUGGUCACGUACAGAUAAUUGGCAGAUGUUAUUGCAGGUGUAGCUAAAUGCUUAUGUUACUAGCGGCAAUAGUGCAGUAAUACCUAACAAUACAAAACAAUACACACAAAGACCAAGAAAUGUAAAGAAAGAAAUGAAGAAAUAAUACAAAGUGUGGCCCUUCUCAAGAUGAGGGACCAGCAUGGUCCUCAUAAGCAUGGUCCUCAUAAGUCCCUCAUAACGUUGGAUGUCAGUGGUGGACCCUGUGUAGACUAUAAAGUCUUUGACAAAUCCUGCCUUCACUUCGCAUAUAACAAAGAACUUCACCCCAAACCUGUGCCUUUUAAAGGGAAUAUAUUAACGGAACACCAGCAUAUCCUUCCGUAACAUCAGGGACUAACUAACUAACAUGCUUCUACAUCUGCAUUGCUUGCUGUUUUGGGUUUAAGGCUGGGUUUCUGUGUAGCACUUUGUGACAUCUGCUGAUGUAAAAAGGCCAUUAUAAAUACAUUUGAUUGAUUGAACUAAUGCAGCAGCAUAGGUGACUUCACGUAGGCAGUUAAGAGAACGAGGUUAAGAAAAGGGUUAGGCUUAGCAACAAUCCAAGGGGCCAGGGUUCCAGUCUUGAAGCACGAUUUUGACUGCUCCUACAG